rnacentral:rRNA from 1 species
AUGUAUGCAGUCUCCAUAGUGGUCCUGGGCUGGGUGUUUGUUACGGCCGACUGGGAGCUGUGGUUCCCUUUGUGCUCGUUGGUCACCGAAACUAGGAUCGGGUCUGACCACGUGCCUCUGGUCCUGUCCACCGGGGAGGACAGGAUCAAGCGUAGCCCGCGUUUCUUCUUUGAAACUGUUUGGUUCGAAAUUCCUGAUUUUGAUCAGGUAUUCAGGCACAAGUGGGAGGCCUGUGUGAACAGGCUCGGCCCCCAGCGGGACCCCAUGGAGUUGUGGGUCGCGUCCGGGGCAGGCCUGCGCGCGUCUCUUAAGGGCUGGGGGGCCAACCAGGGACGCGAAGACAAACUUCGCCGGGCUCGUCUUGUCCAGGAGCUUGCGGUUCUGGACGCUCAGGCCGAUUCCCGCUCUUUCUCCGAGCCCGAGUGGGCCCAUCGGUACGACCUGGAGGGACAUGUGGAGUCGCUCCUCCGUGCCGAGGAGGAGUACUGGCGGCGGAGAGGGGGACUUAAAUGGACCUUGAAAGGCGACGCGAAUACGAAAUACUUCCACACCUAUGCGAACGGACACUGCCGCAAAUGUGCCAUCCUUCGACUGCAAUCCGACCAGGGGCUGUUGUUGCGUCAGGAUGACAUAGUGCGGCACGUUUAUCAGUUCUACAUCCAACUGAUGGGCACGUGCGAACCUUAG